AGUGAACGCUGGCGGUAGGCCUAACACAUGCAAGUCGAACGGCAGCACAGUAAGAGCUUGCUCUUACGGGUGGCGAGUGGCGGACGGGUGAGGAAUACAUCGGAAUCUACUUUUUCGUGGGGGAUAACGUAGGGAAACUUACGCUAAUACCGCAUACGACCUACGGGUGAAAGCAGGGGAUCUUCGGACCUUGCGCGAUUGAAUGAGCCGAUGUCGGACUAGCUAGUUGGCGGGGUAAAGGCCCACCAAGGCGACGAUCCGUAGCUGGUCUGAGAGGAUGAUCAGCCACACUGGAACUGAGUCACGGUCCAGACUCCUACGGGAGGCAGCAGUGGGGAAUAUUGGACAAUGGGCGCAAGCCUGAUCCAGCCAUACCGCGUGGGUGAAGAAGGCCUUCGGGUUGUAAAGCCCUUUUGUUGGGAAAGAAAAGCAGCAGGUUAAUACCCCGCUGUUCUGACGGUACCCAAAGAAUAAGCACCGGCUAACUUCGUG
rnacentral:rRNA from 1 species